UACGUAGGGGGCAAGCGUUGUCCGGAUUUAUUGGGCGUAAAGAGCGUGUAGGCGGUCAGGUAGGUCUGUUGUGAAAACUCGAGGCUCAACCUCGAGACGCCGAUGGAAACCACCUGGCUAGAGUCCGGAAGAGGAGAGUGGAAUUCCUGGUGUAGCGGUGAAAUGCGCAGAUAUCAGGAAGAACACCCGUGGCUAAGGCGGCUCUCUAGUACGGUACUGACGCUGAGACGCGAAAGCGUGGGGAGCGAACAGG
rnacentral:rRNA from 1 species